rnacentral:rRNA from 1 species
GAUGAACGCUGGCGGCGUGCCUAAUACAUGCAAGUCGAGCGAACAGACGAGGAGCUUGCUCCUCUGACGUUAGCGGCGGACGGGUGAGUCACACGUGGAUAACCUACCUAUAAGACUGGGAUAACUUCGGGAAACCGGAGCUAAUACCGGAUAAUAUAUUGAACCGCAUGGUUCAAUAGUGAAAGACGGUUUUGCUGUCACUUAUAGAUGGAUCCGCGCCGCAUUAGCUAGUUGGUAAGGUAACGGCUUACCAAGGCGACGAUGCGUAGCCGACCUGAUAGGGUGAUCGGCCACACUGGAGGUGAGACACGGACCAGACUACUACGGGAGGCAGCAGUAGGGAAUCUGACGCAAUGGGCGAAAGCCUGACGGAGCAACGCCGCGUGAGUGAUGAAGGUCUUCGGAUCGUAAAACUCUGUUAUUAGGGAAGAACAAAUGUGUAAGUAACUAUGCACGUCUUGACGGUACCUAAUCAGAAAGCCACGGCUAACUACGUG